rnacentral:rRNA from 1 species
AAACGACUCUCGGCAACGGAUAUCUUGGCUCUCGCAUCGAUGAAGAACGCAGCAAAAUGUGAUACUUGGUGUAAAUUGCAGAAUCCCGUGAACCAUCGAGUUUUUGAACGCAAGUUGCGCCCGAAGCCAUUAUGCUGAGGGCACGUCAGCCUGGGCGUCACGC